CGAAAUGCGAUAAGUAAUGUGAAUUGCAGAAUUCAGUGAAUCAUCGAAUCUUUGAACGCACCUUGCGCUCCUUGGUAUUCCUUGGAGCAUGCCUGUUUGAGUAUCAUGAAAUCUUCAAAGUAAAUCUUUUGUUAACUCAAUUGGUUUCUACUUUGGUAUUGGAGGUCUUUGCAGCUUCACACCAGCUCCUCUUUGUUCAUUAGCUGGAUCUCAGUGUUAUGCUUGGUUCCACUCGGCGUGAUAAGUUAUCUAUCGCUGAGGACACUGUAAAAGGUGGCCAAGGUAAAUGCAGAUGAACCGCUUCUAAUAGUCCAUUGACUUGGACAAUACUUUUAUGAUCUGAUCUCAAAUCAGGUAGGACUACCCGCUGAACUUAAGC
rnacentral:misc_RNA from 1 species